rnacentral:rRNA from 1 species
UGGGGAAUUUUGCGCAAUGGGGGAAACCCUGACGCAGCAACGCCGCGUGAGUGAUGAAGGCCUUCGGGUCGUAAAGCUCUGUCAGAGGGAAAGAAAUGUGGGCAGCUAAUAUCCGUUCCACUUGACGGUACCCUCAAAG